GAUGAAGAACGUAGCGAAAUGCGAUAAGUAAUGUGAAUUGCAGAAUUCAGUGAAUCAUCGAAUCUUUGAACGCACAUUGCGCCCGCUAGUAUUCUGGCGGGCAUGCCUGUCCGAGCGUCAUUUCAACCCUCAAGCCCCCGGGCUUGGUGUUGGGGAUCGGCGAGCCUCCGCGCCCGCCGUCCCCUAAAUCUAGUGGCGGUCUCGCUGUAGCUUCCUCUGCGUAGUAGCACACCUCGCACUGGGAAACAGCGCGGCCACGCCGUUAAACCCCCAACUUCUGAACGUUUGACCUCGGAUCAGGUAGGAAUACCCGCUGAACUUAAGCAUAUCAAUAACGAGGA
rnacentral:misc_RNA from 1 species